rnacentral:lncRNA from 1 species
AAAUAGCAUUGCCAGUUAACCCAAUGAACUCUCGUGUAACGAGGCGAUGUGAGCGAGAGCAGAAACGGAGACCAUGCUGAUCGUUGAUUGUGAAGGCCUGACAUGGAACUCGUGUGUUCAUGAGCACGUCCCUUUGCAAGGAGCGUCGGUGCAGCGGCAAACAGGCUGCCCUGAAACCUCCCAUCCGUUAAACCCGAGCUCCAGUACCAUGAUGUUCUUUAUCUCUGAAUCCUCCUUGGUCUCCGAUAGAUAGUCAGAGAACAUCCGAGCACAUGUUGGACCUCGCACCUGGAGUGCAGUGAUACAACAGUUAGGAAGGGGAAAAAACUAUUUUAUUUACAUAUAAUCCCUGCACUGGACUGAAAGAUAAGAUUUGGAUAUAAAAUGAAGACUAUAAGAAUAAAAGAACACAGAUAAAACAGAGGAAACAGGACUUGCUGCAUUGCUGUUCCUGCCAUCAGAUACUCCAUCCGUCCCAAAUUACUAUUCGUUUUGGCUCUUCUAGAUACAUAACUUUUGCUAUGUACCUAGACAUAAUAUAUAUCUAGGUGCAUGUCAAAGGCUAUGUAUCUAGAAAAACCAAAACGAAUAGUAAUUUGGGACGGUGGGAGUAAUAGCGAUGCUGCUGCCAAACUAACACAGUUUGGGAUACUAACAGCGCAUGAGAUAUGAGCAUCACUAUUCAUUAGAGAGUAAAAUUGUAAAAGGUCUCUGCUCCAGAAGAAAUAUCGAGUGGGUACAACUCCUAGCUAUCAACUACAGGUGGAAGUAGAGCUAGAUGAUGAGAUUUAGAUAAGACUGUUCAAUUGGUCAUCUAUUUCAUCAGAUAAUGUUUGGAAGUUAAUGGAUGUUUAAGCGUUUAGCAAAACCAAAGCCAUGGGCAUAAUAAUCAGCAAUAACAUCAUAGGCCUUGCAUUCUCUAUAGAAGUUAAAACAGCAUCACAGCGUAUAUUUCAUUAAAGUCAAAAGCAAGCUGUUAUCUGCAAUUUCACACACAUUUCUUAAUAAGCAAAAAAAGAAGUUACAAUUGGAUGUGACAUGUUAAUUCUAACUUCCUGUGUGGCUUGUCAAUAAAACAAAACAAACUCCCUUUGUGCUUUUCCCCAAGGGAAAGAUUUAUUGCGUCAUUUGCAACAACCAUCCAGUGGAAAAGGAAAGGAAUGCCUCUGGAUAGCAAUUUUUUCUUAGAUACCUCCCACAAGGAAGAUUCUGAAUCCUGAACUUGUAUCAUUAUUCCUAGCUAAAGCUAAGGCAUCCUAAACUUUUUUGUUUCAUACUAAAGUUUGACCCAAACAUGAAAACCUGAACAGAGCAUUACAUAUACAAGUCUAAUAUGCAGGACAGAGCAGUGCAUAUACAGGUCUACUAUGCAGGCCACCAGUAUGAUCAAGCUAACGAAAUUACAAGGGUAGGGCAGUUAAUUUAAUCAGAGGAAGGUACAUGUGGAGACCACGCUCAAAAACAAAUUGGCAUCACCAAAGCUGUUGUUGGCUUAACAAUUGCAUAGUCUAGUGGACAUCUUAACAGUCAAAUGCUAAUAUGAUGUGCAUUGUGCAAAUUAUCAGUUUCCACAGGAAGAUGAAGAUCAACACCUCUACUGAGCUGACAAUCAUCUGUGCCUCAAACCAACACAUAUAUGUUUCCAUUUGCAAAAGCGAAUCAAGCCAACGGACGUGCGAUAGUUCCUAGAACAGCAUUAUCCGGGGAGAAUCAGAUUCCCCUGUAUGUAUAGGGAACGGGGCAGAGUAGUUGCAGGGUGCGGAGCUUCGGAUAGAAGUGAGAGAAACGAGGACGGCGGAUCUGGGACCUGGCUGAGAGCGCAGUGGAAGACGAGGGUGUCCUUGCCGCUGGCGGCCUGCACCAGCUCCGGCAUCCGCGCCGCGAAGCUGCCGCUGGCGAAGUGGUGUGACCCCGCGAUGUGCGCCUGGUAGCUCCUCUCCUCGUCCCUUCCGUUUCCAAUCGAAUUCCCCAGCAACACACGGAGAGGGCAAAAUCAGAAUUCUACGCUCCGAUUUCCAAAUCGGCGCGGCGUAGGGCAGCGCAGCACAGGCAUCGGCCCGCGGACGUACGUACCUGACGUCGAUGAUGGCGACGCGGGGAUUGCCGCGCGCCAUAGACACCAGCUUCGCCGCCGACACGUACGACACGCUCCGCGCCAUCCCGCUCGCGGCUCGCCUCCCCUCGCCGUGCGUCGUCUGCGGCGGCUGUGAUUUUGUUCAGGUGAAGAAUCAGAGAAGACGUGGUCCUCAGAUUUUUGGCAGGCAGGGAUGCCGCGUGGAUACGUAGGCUAUUUCUGCGGCCCAUGAGGAAAGCCCAGCUAUAAACUUAAAACCUGAUCCAUUCGUAAAUAUAAACUUAUAACAAGGCCCAAAUAAACUAUUAACGUAAAGUGGACAAAAGUUUAAUUUCAGGAAUUGGCGGGGGCCGCGCGAACGCGUACCCCCUCUGCCACAAAUUAUGACGUCCACUCUCCCACUUGGGGAGAUGGUAAGCCAACGCACCCACAAAGUGCAAUGUGGGCCAUUGACCUAGGCCACGGGCCUUCUUGAUCGCCCGUCGACCCCGUCCAGGUAAGUAUGUUGCAACGAGGGCAGGGGCGCUGGUUAUGUAGCCUCCUCCGUCGUCCCACCCUGCGUGAGGCAGCGUGGUGGUACUAAACGAAACGUGGCCUCACCCUGCGCGAGCGCUGGUGCUGCGUCGAUUCGUUAUUUCCGUGGGCUAAUUCCGCGGCCCAUGAGGAGAGCCCAUAAAAUUUUCGGACUCGUGCGCGCGCCAACCUUUCCGGGCUCUCCGCUUCCAAAAUUUCCCCACCUCAUUUCCCCUUUCAUUCACGCUGCCGCUCUCCCAUCCGGUCUCGGCGAAGCUCGGCCACCCAAUGCUGUCGGGGUCGGGCUCCCGGGGCAGGCGGGCGGGGGAGGCGGCUGCUCCACCUGUGGUACAAGUGAGCUCGUCCGGCUCGGGUGAGGAAGAGGGCCCGUCGGAGGAAGAGGAGGAGGAGGAGAGCGAGGGAUCCAGUGAGGGGGCGAGGAGGCGGGAUGGUGGCGGUGGGAAGGCUAGGGUUUCGGCGACCGAGGGUGAGGCAGCGGCGAGCGGAGGCGACGCGGAGGGGCCGAACCUUCCCAGCUGCCCCAUUUGUAUGAUCGCGUGGACCGCCGACGGCGCGCAUCGCGUGAGGUGAGGACGAAUUGCACAGUACACUAAUUUUGUGGGUUUGUGAACAAGCUCGCUGGCUUGCGUGGUCCUGAACCUCUCAUAAUUCGCUGAUCUUAUACCACUGUAGGUUAGCUGAAACCAUAAUUUCCGGAAUUGGCUUGCUGUAGCUUCUAAUCAGUUGUAAUUUAUGCUUUAUCUGGCGAUUUUUUUGCUAGUGGCCACUUUUGGAUCAUGAGUUCUGCAAUUGGGUGUAGUAUGAGAGGAUUUCUAUGAAUGUAUGAUUGCUAUGUGUUUAGAAAUCUCUGGAUGUCUGGAUCUGAGUAUAAGUGCAUUGAUUCGCUGGGAAUUACUUGACCUUGUCAUCUUCCUGAUAUGCAAAUUGAUUGAACGCUAGGAAUUAUGACAAAAGAAAUAACAUUAAUUUUACGAUCCGUAAUAGUAAGUGUUAUGCCAGAAAAGGGUAAGUAUAUGUAUAUGGCUGCUAGUAUGGAACCGUAUGUUCCUGGGUCCAUUAGUCCACCAGCCUCUGAUUUAUGGUUAAGGGCCAUGGAUUUGAUUAUUAUUUUCGUAUCGUUAUUGCAUUUAGAAAAUUGUUAAGGAUCCAAAAGGUGCACUUAUUAUGUGUUGGGAUUUUGCACUUUUGCUUAUUUGGUGGCACAUACCUGCUUAUUUUCAAAUCGUUAUGAUUGGAGGAUCUUAAAUUGCUAACUGUUUGAUAUCCCGCAUCUAGUUGCAUUCCCUGUGGGCAUGUCUAUGGCAGAUAUUGCCUAGAGAGGUGGCUACAACAGUGCGGCAAGAAAAAAGCACAGGUAUGCUGACUAUUUAAUUGUAUAUCAGAAUAAUAGUGUUAUUUGGUUGAAUCCUUCUGAUUGAUUGGAUCUGUUAUUUUAUACUUACUCAGUGUCCUCAAUGUGGCAAGAGGUACAAACAAAACAACAUUAUCAACCUCUAUGUACCAGAGAUUGCUGUUCCCAAUAAUGAUCUUGAAAAGGUUAGUUAUGCUUCUAUACUUUUUGUUGGAAGUAUAUGUGACCAUCUUGUGAUGCUUAUUUGAUUUAUGCAGCAAGUAUUGUUGUUGAGAGAGAAAAAUGACUCUCUUGAGAAGCAAGUAAGCUCCCUUUUUUAUACAAUCUGCAUUUUUACUUGAACCUGAUAUUAGUAUGACUCUGUCCCAAAGCAAAUACCACGAGCUGCAUAUUCUUUUCCCAAAGCUUAUGCAUUCUUUAUGUUUCCACGCAGCAAGCAAAAUUACUUGAGGAGAUAAAAGAGCAUAAGGUACUUGCACAAAUGAACUAUUUGUUUUCGCUAACCAAAUUGAUUUUUUGAGGAAAAAUAUGGUUACCCUUACUGAUGUAUUUUAUAGAUUAAAUUGAGCAAUAUUUUCUGUGCAUAAACCUUUUACACGCUCAAUAGAGUGCCAUAAUUAAUCCUUUUAUGUUUCUUUACAUUACCUGCAGAGGCAGAUUAUGUUGCAACAAAAUGUGAUAUAUGAAUCAAGCUCGAAGAGACAGGUAGAGCCCUAGUUUUGCUAAUUUUAAUGAUUAGUCAUAGUAAUGAAAGCUUCGAUGUUUACAUUUUUUACAAUCAAUUGUGAAGAAAAUGACAGAGCAGACAUCAAAUGGAAUGCCAGAUGCAGAGCCAAUUGCCUCAGUUACAGAGGACAUUGAUCGUAGAAAUCUGUGCAGUUUUGUUCUCCAGGUAUGUUUUUAGUGCUAUCUGAUUACCACUUUCUGUUAUACUUGUUCUUGCUAUGAUGAGAUUUAUUUCCUGGUUCCAUUUGGUUGUGCGGCCUAGUUUAGCAAUAGCUGUGUACCAUUACUUAUGACGCAUACCACUUGUCAUGCCAACUUCAAUCACACAGGCUAUAAAUGUAGAAUUAUGAAGGGACCUUAUCAUUCACUGACUCACAAUCAACAGCUAUGUUUUGUAGAACGAAUUUUUGGUUGAAGGAGCUCGAGUCAUGGGCAUAGAUGCAUCCAGCCAGAUUAUAUUCACUUCUGGAAGGGGACCUGGAGUUGGUGCUGAACACAUCCUUACAAAGGUACAUGUCUAAACAGAUGCUUUUGCUUGACCACUUCAGUGUAGUUAUGCUUUACUGCAAAUUUGGUUGCUUAUUGACCUUUUGCAAUUUGAUUCUUUAUUUCAACAGAUCAACAUGUUUGCUAGACAGAGAAUGCAGAAAAUCCACCUCCCUCCUGAUACUAAAGCUAUUAGGGACAUCUGUAUACUGCCUGGGGGUUGCGCUGUUUUUGCAUCACUAGGCAGGAAGUUGUCUCUUUUCAGGUCUGUAAAGAAUGUGUGCUAGUUUUAUUUCUCAAUAUGGUCCCUGUAACAUUUAGUCUGAUAUCUGAUCUUUGUGCUUAUGUUUUACUAUAUCCCAGCAUGGCAACCAACAAUGUUGUCCUUCAAUACGAUCUGCCGGUGAUUCUUUGACCUUGCAAUUUCACAAAACUUUCAAGUACUUUUAUGCUCUUCAUGCAUUGAUUCAGAAACCACUACCAAAAUUUGUUCCUGCAUAUAUUUCUUCCUAAAGUAUUUAAAUACUGCACAUGGUCCUUUCUGUUACUGAGGGCUGGGUAUCUGCAAGUCCUUUUUAUUUUGUUCUCUUGGUGUAGCUCUAGCUCUUGGAUAUUGGAAAAUCACUUUACAUUCAGUUCAGCAUACGCUUUAACCUUAGAAGAUUAAAAGGUGCUUGGUAAUCAAUCACUUGCUUUUGGCCGAGACAUGCAUAUUUUUCUUUAAAUUAAACUAUGGAAAAUGGAAAUCUCUCAAGUAGGCGAAUCAGUGAAAAUGCGAAAUUGUUUAUGCUGACCUGCUAAUCUUCUGUGUUUCAAUAUCUUGCAGGCUCCUGGCUGGUCCUGUUCAGGAGAUCAUACUAGUCCGACUCACCUUUAUGCUGGAUUACAGGUUGACUUUGCAGUAUGCCUUGUGAUUCUUAUUAAGUUUUUUCUGCACUUUAGUGGGUUUGUUAAUUGAAAUUCUUCUAUAAAAAUGUUCAGAAUGGCAUGAUAUUGGUCUUUGAUAUUCGUCAAACUUCAGCACCUUUGCAUUCUAUGACGGGUUUAUCGACACACCCAGUCCAUACAAUCCACUCUGCUGUAGAUGGCACUGGUUCCAGAAUGGUUUUUUCUGCUUCUUCUAUAGGACCCUGCAUUUGGGAUGUUGAUGGCAGUGAAGACAGGUAUGCUGUAGUUUGAAAAGUUCCUACACAGUUCCUAUUGAUGUGCUUCUCAGUGUCUUUGAAAUGUUGAAUUUGGUUAUUUGUAGUUCCCAUGUUCUAGUUUGGGCUCUUUUUUCAGGCCGAAUUUGCUAAGCGGGAUGGAAAACCAAGGGGUCUGCAUUUCUCUUGCGUGCGCCCCUCCAUCAAGUGAUCUCCUUGUGGCUUCCUACCGCCCGAAAGUUGAGCUGCAGGAUGAUAGCGCCACACCUCAAGCGAUUACACCACAAUCACCAGCACCCACUGGUUCAGGAAAGCUAGGACGCCACACACUCCUGAGGAGGACCGCCACAACCUCCUUUGCCAAGGACCAAACCUGCAGCGGUAACGUAAGCGACUUGCGAAUGUCGAAGUCUGCAAUCAUACCAUGUGGAGGCAAUCAGCAUCUCUUUGCCUAUGGUGAUGAGUCUCUGUACGGAGUCCGGACUUGGCGGCUGCCCUCGUUUCAGACAUACACCGAUCUCAGGCCCCACAGACAACCAAUCCUUGAUCUAAGGUUUGCUGAAAGUCCAACUGGGGAGAGGUACCUUGGGUGCUUAAGCGCUGAGAAGCUGCAGGUUUUCACAGUUAGGUAGCACAACAGAGAGAACCAUUGACUUCAUUCUUUAGCUUUGUUUCUGGUAGCUGUGCAUGCUAAUAGUUCACAGUUAGUGCUUCACUAACUUUGUUGUACAAGUACAGAGCACAUUGUUCGGUACAGUUUUCACUAAAUGGUGUGUAAAACCAUGUUGUGCAUUUUCAUAAGAGGCUUCAAUAAAUUCACUGGUUGAGUGCAGGAUUGCAGAGUUCUGCUGAUGCUGCAUUGUGUCAUAAAACAAGGAAACAAAUGGGUAGCAAUCUGUCACACUUUAUAUGCUUUCUGCUAUGCUUUGUUCACUCACUGAUAUUUUCCGUUUCUACCAGUAUCAUCAUUGCACAUCGCUAGAACACGUAACUUCUGGCAUUUACUUGUUCUUCUUGAUAAUUCUUUCGACCAAAUUCAUGUUUCGUUUUCUUAGACCAUAACUUAUUAAUUUCUUUCGCAUUCAAGCAAUUUUCCAUCCUUUUCAACUAUCCUUUUCCUUCUAAGUUGCGCCCAAACACGCGUUUCGUUUGGAUUGGGAGUUGCAAGGAGUUGCAAUUGCAUAUUGCAACGACCCUCAGUGCAGCAGUGCAGUGGUUUCAGGCUUUCAGCACUCGGGGUAGAGCGCGCGGUCCCUGGACGAGUCGAGGCAGUAGUAGUACACCAUGGAGUUCCGCUGCGCCCACCGCAUGGCGGCCUCCUGCUGCGGGCUGAGCGCCGCCCCCGACGGCGACGCCGGCACGGGGCGGCAUCCCUGGGGCGGCGCGUCCGCGGCGCACCCGCCGAUCUUGAGGUCGGCGAACCGCGACACGAACGGCUGGUAGCGGUAGUCGGCGCGGUAGCGGCCGCCGUCGGUGGCCCAGUCGGAGGCGUCCCAGAUGGAGCCGUACGCCCACAUCUCCCGGUCCGGGAACGUGGCCUCCGUCUUCCUCUCGUACCGCCGGAUCGGCACGUCGUCCACCAGGAACCUGCGCGACAGGGAAGAACAACCAUGAAUCGUACGUCCAGCCUGCAGAGCUCAUGCGAUGACUGUGCAAAAAGAGCUCCAGAGUGUGACUUACAGGAUCUGGUCGGGGUUCCAGAUGAUGGCGUAGUGGUGGAAGUCGGCGGUGGGGUCGAACCAGAGGUGGAACCUCAUCUCCCGGCCGACGAUGGUGCCGUCGCCGCUGCCGCGCACGUACACGUUGGUCUGCAGCGUGUACGGCUCCCCCGGCACCGUCCCCAGCAGCUCCAUGUCGAUCUCGUCGUGGUGCCCCGGGUACUCCUCGCUGUUCGACAGCUGCAUCACCAGCCAUGCAUUGCCUUGCAUCAUCAGUUCAUCACCAUACCUAAGCAGAGCAGAGCAACAAGGCACCACCAAUAGACUCCACUGAUCCACUCACGUAGAAGGCGGUGUUGACGCCGGCGGUGUAGCCCGGCUGCACCCUGACCGAGGCGCCGAAGUAGCCGCUCCGGUACGCCCGCGCCGACUUGAACCCGCUGCCGGAGCUGCGGUCCAUCCACAGCGUCAGGGACCUGCCGUCCGGCGAGAGGGUCUGGUGCUGCGGGCCCCACAGGGUGCGGUAGGCCUCGGAGAAGGCCAGCGACCUGAGCGUGGCGCUUGGGUAGUAGCCGGGAGAGGGAGGCUGCUGGGCGGCGCAGGGCUGCAGCGGCAGCGUAAGCAGAGGAGCAAGCGCGCAUGCCAGGAGGAGAGCAGUUGCCUGCCGCACCGGCACAUCACCAGGCCUUGCCAUCUGCUGAUCAGUUGGUGAUACACUGACAGUGUUAGAUGUGUCUAGUGAAUCGUGAUCUUGUCUUUGUGUAUUGCGUGUGAUCAAAUUGAUGAAAUUUCGGUUUGCGAGAGGUUUCUUUAUAGGCGAGAUCAGGCCUGUAUGGCAAUGGUCCCGCAGAGUAGGAAAAGGUUGUUAAGAAUUCAUUUUUAAGAGUAGAGUAGGGACAGAUUUGUAAGGUUAGGGGCCCAGGACGAGCAACAGGGCAAGUGAAGCGUGCUACGAGCCUACGAGUGAACACGAUCUCUUGGCCCCAAAAGCAAAUGCAAAGGACUUGGAUACUGUCACCUCUCCCACACGGAAUGUGUAUCCUACACUUUUUGGCUCGAGUUAUUCGCAAAAUCUGAUCGUGUGAAUACCGAAUAACUAGAACAUGUAACAGUAACAUUUGGUUGCAAACGCCGCCAUGUUCCUUGUUUAUUCUUCUCAUUGGCGGCCAAGUAUGCCAUGCCACCGCGCUUUGGAUUUAUUACCCGCCAGCAGCAAAGAAUAAAAGAGAUGGCACUGAUUAUCUAGUAAAUUUUUGCCACACCUUUCUUUUGACCCAAGUAAAACAUGUUCUUUCCUGCAUUAACCAGACUUGGCAUUUCGGCCCCUGUCGGUCCAAAAUAUCGGGCAAUUGCACACCAAUUCGGCGAGAGCGAUUGUACAGUCUGUAUAAAAGACAGUUUCAUAAAAAAAAACUUAAUUUGUUGAAAAAACACGCAAUACCAUGUUCGGUACAAUUUAAACCAUACAUAUGGCUGCUCUUCACCAUCACUGCCCACACACACGCUUUGACAAACUGAAAAUGAUGCACCACUGAUCGCCUAUAGGCUUUGAAUGAUGAUCUUCCUUUUUUGUGGCAGCUCACAUCUUGGAUCAUCAUUUUGGUAAUCAGUAAGCUCACCAGUAGCAAAUGCAAAAUUUCAAAGAUAUGAUUUGCACCAGCUAAAUCCUUGCCAGUGUAUAAGUUGGACUGAUGCUGAGAUAGAUUGUGCUGAAAGCGGCAGAACUUAAAGACGAGGACAAACUCUUGAAGCUCAACUGUUGACAAGCAUCUGCACGGCUGCUACAUUGUGUCAUCCUCAUCGUCACAGGCAGCACAGGAGGGGGCAAUCAUUAGAUUCAGAGCUCAUCGUCACAAGCGCCGGUUCUGAGAUGCUGUGACGAGCUGCACAGAAAAUUGUCUUUCUGAACUCUGAAGGCGAAUGAUCAGCUUCAGUUUAUGACUGUUCAACUCGAUGCAAUUGCCUGAAUUCCUCAGACGCAACUGGUGUUUAGUUGGUCUUUAAAACUGGAUUGAAUAUCGGUCGUACGUAUAUCUAUAGGCCCAUGUAUAUCUAUAGGCCCAUCAGAAGGUUUGAACAGUCUUACGCUGGACACCGAGACGUAUCAGAUAUGGAGAUUACGGUGCAUGACGGCGUAGUCCACGUGGCAAGACGGGAACUAGUAGAGGAUUAGGAAAACUACUCGUAGCAAUUAGAGUAGGACUCGCCUAGCCGAAUCUGACUAGUAUUCUUGCCCAUGUUAAUAUAAGGCGAGGCAGGGACCCCCUCCAAAGUAAUUCAAUUCAACCAACACACAGGACGUAGGGUAUUACGCAAUCUAACAGCCCGAACCUAUCUAAAUCAUGUGUCUGUGUUCACCUUCGAGUUCCUGAUUUCAACGAGCCCCACGCACUAAACACUACCUCGGGCACCCCCUCAGUAGGUUGUCGGAUCUAAACACUGACAGCUGGCGCGCCAGGUAGGGGCUCUCGUUGAGAAUCCACUGGUGAACUCGAUGGUCCGAGUCAUCAUCAAGCUAAUUGUCACGUUUGAAGUGGGCGUGAAGUUCAUCUUCGGCUCCUGUGUUUGCAUCACAGACGGCGCUGGAAACUUCCUCCGCCAUAUUGCGCCGGCCCCGGAGAAGAAGCAGCAAGCCAUGAAGCUCCAGCGUCAAGCUUUGGAGGAUCUCGUCAAGAAUUUCCGCGAAAUUUCAAUUUCUGACUUAGUCAGAGGCUAGGGGGAUGAGUCCGAGUACAACUCGACUUCUCACACUAGUCGGACUAAUUUUCACAAGCCGGUGCUUAAACCAUCGUGCGAAUCGGACUACAACCGAAGUUGACUCCCGUUCGGACUCCGAAACAUGGUUGCUAUUUACCAAGCUAACCUGUCCAGAUCACAAUCCGACACGGAUACGAUCGAUGACCUCAACUACUACUCAGACCCGGACAAGGAGACCCCUUUAUCAGAUCCGCAGCAGGGCCUGGUAAGCAUAUCGACUCCACAAGGUAGAUUCGUCUACUGGCCCAGCAUGAAGCCACCUACUCUCGCCAAGAAUGACGACUCACGCCUUAUCGCCUACCUUAACACCUUUCCGUACCAGGAGGAAGCUCCUCUAUCGCCCAUCUACGAAGAAGAGGACACCACCGAGGGCAUCACGUCAAACUCGGGAAGCUACUCUCCGGAACAAGAACUCUUCACUCUCAUUGCUGGAUAGGAGGGUGAAGACGAAGAGCAACCAGAAAGAAAUCCGCGACAUGAACAUCACCCAGAUGAUGUCUCGCAGGAUGAGGUCACCGCCAACGUUGCUAGAGAAGAAACUGAAGCUCAAAGAACUCUACGACGAGACGACGAGCAAGAAAUGUAGCAAGGGCAGAGCGCCAUCGCCGCUUUGCAGCAGACUUGCCAAUCAUGAACUUGGAUAACAUGUUUGAAGCAGUUUAAUCACGUCAACAUCAUACUCCACAUACCACCAUCGCGUCCAUUGAUCUUAUUACCCGCGCAAUACCACAGACAAGUACACUAGGCAAUUGGCUGAACUGGCGGAGCGUGCGUACAAACAACUCGAUUAACAAAAACCGAUACAUUCAAUUCAACGCACCCUAUCCCAGCGUAGUCAGCAUGGCAAUAGCCAUAGGCGCACUCCAUCUAGAUCAAAUCAAAUUGGAGGCACCAGACCAAGCUAAGUUGGAGCAAAGGGUAGUCGGGCGGGACCCUCGGGAGGCCGUGGCCAUCGUGAGGCUAACCCAGAACCUGAACGUCUAGUUCAGGAUCUCCGUAACAAGAUCAACGCCGGUCAUGAUGCCCGUACAAUCAUCGACGGACACCGCCGCGAGCGCGAGCAAGAAGUCGAGUACCCAGGAGAGAAUUCUGAUAGUUCCCCCGCCUUCUCAAGACAUGUGCGGAGAACAAUUUUACCCGAGAAAUUCAAACCUCCGGGUAACACCAAGCACGAUGGCAAGCAGAACCCAGUCCAAUGACUGUGGUGCUAUUCACUGUCAAUACAGGCAGCAGAGGGGAAUGACGACACCAAGGUCAUCUUCUUCCCCAUCUGCAUGGAAGCGGUGCCACUCACAUGGCUCCAGUCAUUAGACAAGAACUCCAUCGACACGUGGAAGGACCUCAAGGUAGCGUUCACCAACAACUACGCAGGGGCGAUGCAGCGUCCUGGCAACAUGAUUGACUUUUCUCAAGUCAAACAACAAGAAGUCGAGACCCUGCACAGUUACUUACAUUGCUUCUUCGACAAGAAGGCCACAAUCGUGGAUAUCACAGAGCGCGACAUCAUAGACUGCUUCCAAAAUGGUCUCUACGACCGCCAGAUGUUCCAGGAUUUUAGGAGAAGACGCCCUGGUGAUGUCAAAUCUCUUAAGACCAUGGUACAGGCGUGGGCAGAUGAAGAAGAUAGAGAGAUCGAGAGGCUCGAGUCUAAUUGCAACAAAUGCUAAAACAACAACAAUCAGAAUAAUGGCUAACACAACGAUAAGAACCGCAACGAUCGCCCCAACAAUGACAACUGAAAUAACUACUCAGGAGGUCAGAACCGCAAGUGGAAGCCAGACAAUACUGUCGUGGCAAUGUCACGGUCGUCCAAGAAAGGUGGCAGCAGAAAUCAAGAUAGGACCCCAUUCGGCGAGCUCCUGAAGAAACAGUGCCCAUGGCACCCGUACCAUAAGUACUAUGCGAUGGAUUGUUAUAGUCUACGCAGAGUCAUGAAAAACCUGCCGGAACCAACUGGUAUUAAAGACAAGGGCAAGGCCAAGAUGAAGACGAUGGUGACAAUGGCAAAUUUCAGAACCCUUCCAACACCAUCAACGUCAUCUUCGACGGCCCACCGGGUACUACUACUAAGCGAUCCCAGAAGCUCGCCCUCCGAGAGAUCAUGUCCAUUGAACCAGCAACACCAACAUUCCUAAGAUGGUCUGAGGUGCCAAUUACCUUCUGUAGGAAGGACCAAUGGACUAGUUUCUCAGACCCAGGAUGAUAUCCUGUUGUCCUGGAUCCAGUAGUCGCUGGCUCCAAACUCACCAAAGUACUCAUGAAUGGCGGUAGCAGCCUCAAUGUACUCUUCGUCAAGACACUAAAGAAGAUGGGCCUCAACAUUAUUGACAUGCUCACCCCCAACGAACUCUUUGUUCUAUAGGAUUGUCUCGGGAAACGCGGUUGUACCCCUUGGAUAGGUGGUUUUGCCAGUUACCUUUGGGACCAAAGAAUACUAUCGGACAGAGUACAUCCGAUUUGAGGUGGCAGACUUCGAAACUUCGUACAACACCAUCUUCGGAAGACCAACACUAGUCAAGUUCAUGGCCAUCCCACACUAUGUGUACCUAGUACUCAAGAUGUCGGGACCCAAGGGAGUACUCUCCCUGCGCGGGGACUUGAGGAGAUCCUACGACUACGCCACGGAAGCUGUGGAGCUAGUAGCAACUAUACAAGUACCAAAUUCGAUGAUGCAAGUCUUCACCACAUCGAAAAAACUAUCCCCGUCAGAACUCGAGAUCCCAGAAAAAAAGUUGGGGGCAACCAAGGUCAAGCCGGCAAGUGAAGUAGACAUCAAAGCCAUUGAGCUUGAGACUGGUGAUAGUGACAAGAUAGCCUUGAUUGGCUCAGGGCUAGAUCCUAAAUAGGAAAGCGCGCUCGUCAGCUUCCUCCGGACCAACCGUGACAUCUUCGUGUGGAAGCCAUCGAAUAUGCCAGGGGUGCCCAGGGUGUUGAUCGAGCACUCACUGAAUGUGGAUCCAAAAGCUACACCAAAAAGACAAUGCUUACGCCGUUUCGCCCAAGAUAGAAGGGAAGCCAUCAAGAAGGAGAUGGCCAAACUACUUGCAGCGGGCUUCAUAAAAUAUAUCUAUCAUCUAGAGUGGCUUGUCAAUCCUAUCCUGGUGCGAAAGAAAAACAACAACAAGUGAAGGAUGUGUGUCGACUACACAAACCUCAACAAGCACUAUCCAAAGGAUCCCUUCGGGCUCCCUAGGAUUGAUCAAGUCAUCGACUCAACAGCUGGAUGCGCCCUACUCUGUUUCCUUGAUUGCUACUCGCGGUAUUACCAUAUAGCUCUCAGGGAAGAAGAUCAAAUCAAAACUGCAUUUAUCACCCCCAUACGGAGCUUUCUGCUACACAACAAUGUCCUUUGGGUUGAAGAACGUAGGUGCCACCUAUCAACGGACUAUCCAGGAGUGCUUCAAGCAACAGCUACACUGCAACGUAGAAGCGUACGUGUACGACGUGGUCAUAAAGACCAGAAAUCCGGAUGACUUGAUUGCAGAUUUAGAAAAAAGCUUCGCAAGCUUACGAGAAUUCCGGUGGAAACUAAAUCCAACAAAGUGCGUUUUUGGCACACCCUCCGGAAAACCCAUCGAGAAAUUAAAGCUAACCCCGAGAAGAUCUCUGCCAUCACCGACAUGCACGCCCCAUCGUGCAUCAAGGGUGUCCAGAAACUGAUUGGAUGCAUAGCGACCCUCAAUAGAUUUAUCUCAAGGCUUGGAAACGGGGACUACCCUUCUUCAAACUACUCAAGCGGCAAGACAAAUUCCAGUGGACUAAGGAAGAAGAUGAAGCCCUGCAACAGUUAAAGGACUUCUUAUCAAAACCACCAGUCCUUACGGCGCCAAAUCCCAAUGAAAACUUGCUACUAUACAUCAUCGUGACUACUAAUGUCAUCAAUAUGGCAAUCGUGGUCGAAAGACUGGAAUCAGGCCAUGUAUACAAAGUAUAGAGGCCCAUCUACUUCGUUAGCGAGGUGCUAUUAGAUUUCAAAGCCAAAUACCUGCCACUUUAGAAAUUACUAUACGCAAUACUACUCACCUCGUGGAAGCUUCGACUCUACUUCCAGGAGAACAACAUCUUCGUCAUCACAAACUUCCCUCUAGGAGAAAUCCUCCACAAUCGGGAUGCAACAGGAAGAAUAUCCAAGUGGGCGGUGGAACUCGGAGCAUUGUUCCUGGAAUUCAAGUCGAGGACUGCGAUUAAGUCCCAAGCACUAGUCGAUUUCAUGGCAGAGUGGUGGGAAAAUCAACUACCAACUCCAGCAGAGCGUCCAGAGCAUUGGGUUAUGUAUUUUGAUGGAUUACUCAAGCUCGAGGGCGCCGGCGUAGGAGUACUCUUAAUAUCCCCAAAAGCAAACAACUUAAAUAUGUCUUACAAAUCUUCUAGGAAGUAUCCAACAAUGAAGCUGAAUACGAAGUACUCCUGCACGGCCUCCGCCUAGCAGUUUUACUGGGAAUCAAGCGAUUGUUGGUCUACAGCGACUCACUGGUGGUAAUCAAUCAAGUCAACGACAAGUGGAACCGCCAUAAGGACUACAUGGAUGCAUACUACCUGGAGGUACGCAAGCUCGAGAACAAGUUCUCCGGUCUCGAAUUCCAUCACGUAGCUCACGACAACAACGUUGUCGCGGACGUCCUAUCCAAGCUUGGAUCUACUUGUGCUCAAGUUCCAGCUGGGAUCUUCAUCCACAAGCUACACAAGCCAUCCAUAACAGAGCCGGCGCCAUCAACAACCACCGAUCGAGGUCAUGACGCACCAGACUGAGAGGUUAUGAUGAUUGACAUAGACUGGAGAAAUCAUUUCAUCGACUACAUCAAAGAGCACAAGCUACCUCCAGAUAAAAUAGAAGUAGAGCAAGUCUCACGACGUGGCAAAAACAAUGUUCUAGUGGGAGACAAGCUUUAUAAAAGAGGCGCAUCAUCAAGAGUACUCAUGAAGUGCGUCUCACGACAAGACGUCAAGAGCAUGUUGGAGGAAAUUCACAAAGGCAUCUGCGGCAACCAAGCAUCCUCACAAACGAUCGUGGACAAAGCUUUUAGAGCAGGGUUCUAUUGGCCUACAGCUCUCGCUGACGCUGAGGAACUAGUCCACCGAUGCCAAGGAUGUCAAUUCUUCGCCAAACAACAACACGUCCCUGCCUACAAGCUGAUCACCAUAUCACCCUCUUGACCCUUCGCAUGCUGGGGGCUAGACAUGAUUAGCCCACUGCCUACGGCGCCUGGAGGGUUGAAUCUAGUACUGGUGGUGAUUGACAAGUUUACCAAGUGGAUCGAGGUGAAGCCAGUAACCUGCCCCAAGGCAGACAGAGUAUUCGACUUCCUCAAUGAAAUUGUCCACCGCUACGGCUUCCCUAAUCGCAUUAUUACAGACCUGGACUCCAAUUUCAACAACCAUGAGUUCUGGGAGUAUUGCGAGAACAACAGAAUUGACAUCUGGUAUGUCUUUAUCACUCAUCCACGGGCCAGCGGCCAAGUUGAACGCGCCAAAGGGAUGGCAUUGGAAGCUCUCAAGAAAAUACUAAAUGAUAUUGAAAACACUAAAGGGGGCAAGUGGCUCAAAGAACUACCCAAUAUCCUUUGGGGGCUUCAUACCCAGCCGUGCAAGCCUACAGGACAAUCACCCUACUUCUUGGUCUACGGAUCGGAAGCUAUCCUCCCUGCCAACGUCAUGUGGAAAUCUCCAGUAGUCGAGCAGUACAAGGAGGGCACAACAGAAGAAAUAAGGCGUCUAGAUUUAGACAGCCUCGAAGAAGCUCGUUGUGCAGCACUCAUCUAGUCCGCAAGGUAGCUAGAAGGAAUCCACCGCUAUCCUGAUCGCAACGUCAAAGAAAGUUUAUUCAAUAUAGGCGAUAUGGUCCUCAAGCGUAUCCAAGACGCCAAGGGACUGCACAAGCUAAACUUGCCAUGGGAGGGUCCAUUCAUCAUGUCCAAGGUCACUAGACCUGGGUCGUAUAGGCUCCAACACCUCUCUGGUGAAGAUGUCGACAACUCGUGGAAUAUCGAGCAACUCUGUCAAUUUUAUCCUUAGUUUACAUAUUCAUGUAAAUUAGCCAUCAGCCCUACCUGUAGACUUACAAUUUAAUAAAGCAGACUUAUUUUUUAUCGUAAAACGACUACUUAUUUCUGCCUGAUUACGGCUUGCAAAAGCAAGUUCCUAGAGCUAUUUAGCUUCCUGGCAAUAUCGCCCAAUCUGCAGCUUGUAAUAACAAGUCUGUUCAAAGCUAUUCAGCUUGUAGAGUAAAAGUGCCUACAUGCGGCUUGUAAUAACAAGACUGCAAAGAAUCUUUCGAGUUAUUCAACUCAUCGGAUAAAAUUGUCCAAACGCGGCUUGCAAAGACAAGUUUGCAACAAAAUUCGUGAGUUAUUCAACUCACUAAGAUAAGUCUGUUCCCUAGAAACUUGCAGAGAAGGAGUCGUCAGCACUUCGGGAGUUAUUUAAACUACCCGAGAUAUUUUUGUCUAGUCGCAGCUUGUAAUAACAAGUUCUGCAGUUCCAAGGUUUCAAGAGCACAACAUCAGAACAACCCAGAGAGGUUGUAAAGAUAGGCUCCAGUCGAAGAAAUCUUGAAGAGCGUACUCGCCUAAGGGGUCUGACUACCUAUAUGCCUCGAGUACUCGUACUCCGCAGAAAGGAGUAGCAUCCUAAAAGUACUCUACAUCGUGUAUCUGAAGAGACACAUCAGAGUAGCCUUCUGCGCAGACACUUACAACUCGUACGAGCAAUCAUCAUGGUAGUUCAUAAGAUGCACUAAAAUAACAAGUUGAAAGAAUUAAAAAUUGCAACAAGACUUAGAAAUAUUUACAUUUCAUUCAUACCAUGUUUAUAUUAUAAAGAACUAAUGUUUACUUUUUACAACGACUACUCAAGGUCUAAAUGACUAGCUACUUCCUUUGCGAUAGGGUCCAUCUCCUGCAGGUACUGCUGGAAGAGCUCAUCAGAGCAGUCCUCUGUUAUCCCUUCCGCAAUAGGAGCUAGGUCCGCCUGCAGGUAGAAGGACUUCAGGCUAGCAGCUGCUUCGAGAUCGACUCCGCUAUCUUCUGGACGUAGCUGGUGAACUUUGCUGGCACCUCCUUGAGUAUCUCAGACAAAGGGCGGGGCUCCACACCUUUAGCUGGGGGCUCCACCAUGUCCGCAAUAGGCUGAGCUACUUCGGAUAGUUACUUUAGAGCAAGCUUCGUAGCCUCAAGCUCGGCCUCGCGCUCCUGGAGGGUCUUCAUGGUGUUGACCAAGUCGACCUCCCCAUCCUUGCGCAUCUUCUUCUUCUUCUGAAGGUGAUGGUCCAGGUUUUCAUAUAGCGUAGAUAACUUAUCGUGAUAGUCCGUCACCUGAUAGUAGGAGUUCUGCCAAUCAACAACUCGACCCUGGAGAUCUUCUUUUGUCUUCUCGAGCACUGCAGGAAUAAUUCAAAGGAAAUUCAGCAUCACAAAGUGGAAUUAGUACUCGAAGACUAAGGGAGAAGACCAAUUACCUCUCAGUUGCUGCUUCAGAGAUUUGUUGCGUUUCCUGAGACGGUCCUUCUUCUUCUCGAACUGCUGGACAUUGUUUCGGUACUCGACGGAUUGUCCGUCGUACUUCAUCAACGGCCGAGAGGAGUACCCCCUCUCCUUCGCAAGCUCCUUGGCAAGUACCUCAGUACAGAUUAUUGUGUCCCCGUGGCCCUGGAGCAUCUGAGGUUUUCUCCGGGAGUGCUUGAUUACAUCCUGCACAACAGAACAAGCACUCGUGUCACGAUACGGGUACCGAUUUCAAGUUAUGGAAUCAAUGGGGAUCAAAAGCUUACCGCUGCAUAUGCACCUACACGGCGGUACAUUACCCUCAUCUCGACCUCCAUAUCUAUGUCAAGUAGUGGGUCGUCGAUCAGUUGGAUGUCUUCAAUAUUAAUCUCGCCAACUGCUAAUGGCUCCUAAUGUGUUUCAGCAUCUGCUGCAUUGAGCGGAACCAUGGCACAGCUGGUCGACGGGCUCGGCUCAGAAGGUGGGAUGGCCGCCACAACUCUCAUCACCUCUGCGGCUUCAGUCUCUACCUCUGACUCAGGGGCUGCAAGAGUAGCCACGGUGCCAGAGGUAGUUGACACCGCGGCCACAAGCAUUGGUUGCUCGGGGGCUGGCACCAUAGCAUCAGUCAGCGAAGAAAUCAUGUUCUGCAUUGAUGCAGCUAUAAGUGAUACGCCACCAGGAUUUGUUGCCGCCGCAGGUUGUUCCUUUGGCGGCAGACUUGUUGGUGUAGGAGCGAUGUCCUGGACUGAGUGGCUACUGCCAUCAGUCACAUGCUUCGGGCUUGGACCUCCAAGCUCCAUACAUAAGAUAAGUUGUCAGAGACAUAUAAAAAGUUGAUAACAAGCUUUAAUUAGUACUCAAAUGGAGUACCAAUACUUACUUUGAGGAUCCCCUCAACUUCAGCGAGGGGUCCCCUGAUAAGCGCAGUGGCUUGAUGGUUGGAGACGACUUCUUUAGCGCGGCUUGUUGGGUUGCCGGGCGAUCCUCGCUAGCUCUCAAAGCCGCCUCUAUUCCUUGCGUAGUCCUUGUGCUGCCAGGGUUCGCCCUAGCAACGAGGGGUUCUUGUAGGAUCUAGGAUACCGACUAGAGGAGGGGUGAAUAGGCGGUUUCAACUAAAAUCACAGCACUAUAGAAAUUUAAUUAGUAACACAAGAGAAAAAAUAUUUCUAACUACUCUAUAACUAGGCGAGGGUUUGCAACCUAGGGUGACAAGGUAUAAUUCAAACUCUAGGAAUGUAUUUGCUCAAAGUAAAUUGCAAUAAAGAGAUUGAGCAAAGAGAAGACCGAACACAAGAGAUGAAUUUUUCCCGUGGUGUCGAUGACUUGCCGAUCACCCCUAAUCCAUGUUGAGGUGGAUUCAAUGCUUGAACCGCUCCUCUAUCAAGACACCGCUUGAUGUUUGAGCCAGCUUGAAUCAAAGAACCUCUCCAAACCUCGAUUCCACUAAUGUUGCUCUUCACCGCUUCGGCGAGGUGAGUACAAACCCCUCACAAGAAUAGCCGGAGCUCCUUUACAAUCCUCCUUGAAGGGCUCAAUGGCUCCACAGCCUCCAAGCCAUCUAGGAGGCGGCAACCUCCAAGAGUAACAAGCAAAUGACGCUUGCUUGAAGACUCCCUAGUGCCACAAAGCUCAAACUCUUGAUGCAAUGCACUAGGAUGAUCUCAAUCUCACAAGAAUGCAAUCUUUAAGCAAAGUGAGUGAGUGAGAGGUGGAAGAAGGCUCAAGAAUGCCAGCAAAGCUUUUCAAAGUGCCAAGAGACCUCACCCAUGCUCGGGGGUGAAGUAUAUAUAGCCCCUUCUUCCAAAACUAGCCGUUGGAUUACAAACUCGUGAAAACUGGGGACUGGCAGACCGUCCGCCUCAUAGGGGCCAGACCGUCUGCCGUUCAAGUCCAACGACUGAAGGGAUACGAGGUAGACUACGCUAGCACAAAACAAAAUUUUCUACUGCGUAAACCAGAAAAACUGUCGUAUAUGGAUCACGGGAUUACCACUAGACACGCAGAUGCGGAAGUUGAUGAAGCGCGUCGGGGUAGUGUAGUCGAUCACACGUCGCCGCAGUGUAGUCGAACACGUCCACAUCCAGCAGCUCCUCAGCAACUCGUCCAUGCAGCAGUGUCCUCUUCGCGCGGCAGCUCAUCAAGCUCCUCGUCGGCUCGUCCAAGUGCUGCAGAUGCAACAUCUCCAAGGUAUCCACACGUACGGGGAGGAAGCGUUGCAAGCCGAACUGCUAGGUCCGCGAGUGCAACAAGGCGAGGGCGUGGGGGACGCGGCUGAGGUUCAGCCAAAAAAGGGGUGAAACCCUAAGCCGCCCUCACCCCUCAAUAUAUAGGGGUCCCUGACGGGCCUAUAGGUCCAAGGCCCGUUAGUACUCCCAAACCUGGUCCAAUUUGGAUCGUAUCCUCAUUGGGCUUCCAGCCCCUUAAGUGUGCGAUCCUAUAGGUUCAUAUACGCAAAGACAUGGCACGAGUACUCCUACUCGGCCAAUAAUUAGUAACGGCCUCUAGCAAGACGUGCCAACUCCUAUGCGCACACGAAGAUCAUAUCAGACGAACCAUCAUAACAUCACGUUCAUGCUAUUCCCUUUUCCUCAUGAUAUUUGGUCGAGCUUCAAGCCGACCUCUCUUUCUCGAUCUUGUGAUUCGAAAUCCCUCUCUAGGUUAACUCUUAACCUCACGUAGCAUGGCCAUGCAUUUCCGGAUCCAAUCAUUCGAGGGGCCCAGAGAUAUCUCUCUCAAGUAGAGAGGGGCAAAUUCCAUCUUGACUGACCAUGCCUCACAGCAUGCUUCUUGACAAACCCGAAAGCUACCUUUAUAAUUACCUAGUUACGGUGUAGCGUUUGAUAGCCUCUAAGCAAGUCAAUCCACAUCUUGAGUACAUACGACAAUCUCAGGUCUAAGGACAAAGCGUACACGUUGUGUAAAGAGAGAACUAUGUAAUUCGCGUUGGGUCAGUCCUAGCACAUGUCUCUACAUGUGCCCACAUUAUUAGUUUGACAUCUCCAUAUCCAUGACUUGUGAAACAAUCAUCAACUAAUACAUGUGCUAGUCUAAUAUUCAUGUGUGUCCUCAUAUGAACUCCGACUAGGGACAACUUUUAGAAUAACCAUACAAGUAAAGAGUUUCACACACAAUUCACAUAAUUGCAAAUUAAUUCAAGUAGCCUUUAAUGGAUAUUCAAGGAACACAAUAUAAAUCAUGGAUACAAUGGGAUAUCAUCAUCUCUAUGAUUGCCUCCAGGGCAUACCUCCAACAUCGGCUACUACAGCAUGUAAUGCAUGUCAGACUGUGCCGUUAUAGAGGUGGCGGACCGUCCGCCCUUAUAGGGUUGAACCGUCCGCGGUAUACCUUUCAUCGCGGUCAGUUCGAGCUUCUAAACUGCGGAUAGUCCGCUCAAACACCUGCGGGCAGUCCGCCUCUAAUAAAUGCCCCUAAGCCCAAAAAUAUGUCUUUGUCUAAGUUAGCAUGACCGUCCGCCUCUAAGGCACGGACCGUCCGCCUUUAUACAGUCAGCACUCUUCUAGAUCAUCUUUUUCUUCUCAACUCUUUUACUUUCUCAAACUAUGUUAGUCCAUAUGCAUGCAAUGCAAUUAUUUGAGCAAAGUGGCACUAUAGAACCAUCAAGCAAAUGAAAUUGACCCCUCUUGAUAGUACGACUAUCUAGGCUAUUAAUCCGGUCAAUUUACAUCCGCUAAGCACCUCUUGACCGGUAAAAAUAGAAAACCCUACCAUAUACCUUUGCCUUGAGCUUUCCAAGGUGCAAACCAUCCAAACUAUCACCAUAGCAUCCUUUGAAGCUGAAUUCAAUUCCGGGACUAACCUAUACUCAUAUUCUCAAUGAAAUUGUUAGUCCACAAAGGUCGUCAUUAAUUAUCAAAACACAAGUUAGGGGCCAAGAUGCUUUCAGUUUUGGAUCAUCUUCAAUCUCGAUGACCUCCUCUGUUACUAGCAGCUGCUGUUAUACGACUUCAGUAGUCAUCCCCUCCGCCUCGGCCACCUCCCCGACUACCUGCAAACCACCAUGACCAUAUUGAGUAGACAUGGCGGUAUUGGAUUUACUUACUAGUACUCGACCCUCAGGAUUUUGCCCUUCCUCAAAGGUUAUUAUCGCUGGAGGUACGUCUUCGGCAGUGAGCAGCUUCUUCACGGCACACUUCCCAGCGAUGGUCCGCUUCUUCCUUGGCGACGGAGCCAGCGCAGCCUCCAAAUCAUCUUCAGCUGCACGUUUUGAUGACCCGGAGGAUGACCCAACCUUGUCAGACAGCCAGGCCUUGAUCACGAACUCCUCUGUAACUUCAGAGUCAGAGCUGCUAAAGGACUCAAUUUCUUUUUCUUCCUCCUCUAUGACUUCAGUCACGCUCGCUAUUGUAUGAAGGCGAGGAGCAACGUCAAUGUCUUCUGCAUCAGGAGGAGGAGGAGGGGAGCAAUACAAGUGUACGUCUUCCUGCAUAGGCAGACAAUUCAGUACGUUAAAAAUUACCAAAAUGAGUACUCAGGGGCUGCGGCCAUGGUACUUAGAAUUCUUGGUGGGUUGGCAGUGCAAAACUCUCGCACAAUCGUUGGGAUUUCACUCGCAUUUUUGAACAGGCGCCUCAACUGCACUAUAACCUCAACCACACUAAGUUCUUUCGGUGACAUCCUAGACGGGUCAUUGACACCUGAGUAGUCAUAGCCCCAGGUGCACCGCAGUUGCAGGGGUUGAACUCACCUCGUCAUGAAGCUGAAGGCUACCCCGACUCCUGUUAACCCCUGUUGCUUGAACUUGGCUAUUUGGUCUAGAAGUUCAGGUAGCUGCAAGCAGUCUCCAUGGUUUGGCUCGUCCAGCCACCUAUUAUUCCAGAUAGGACGGUGCCCUGUCACCUUGGGGAGCUUGAAGUCGUGGUUGCCGAUAUAGAGCCACUUCUCUUUCCAUCCAUAAUGUGAGUCAAUGAGCUCAUAGUCCAAGUAAAGGCCCUUGAGCUUCUCUCUCAUCUGAAUUCUAGCCCCACCGACUACUUCAGUGUGCUGCAUCUUCGGCUGUGGCUUCACACGGAAGAACUUCCGGAACAACUGGAAGUGGGACUAUAUCCCCAAGAAGGCUUCGCACAAAUACACAAAGAUUGCGGCGUGCAAAAUGCUGUUGGGGUUCAAGUGGACUAGUUCCAACUUGUAAUAAUCUAGCAGGCCCUAGAAGAAAUCUGAUGUAGGUAAAGCCAGACCUUGCUCAAUGAAGUGCGCAAAGAUUACCAUUUCUUCCGGGUAGUCCUCCAUUGGCCAGGGUUUGCUGAAGGCAAGUCUCCAGUUGAUGACAUCUUUUCCUUGGAGAAGGUUGGCCGCCACCAACACCUUAAUGUCUUCCUCCUCCAGGCACAUGCUGGAGUCAGCGAAGCAGUUUGAUCUGUCUUUCCAUACUUGGGGCAGGGAGUUGCAUCUCCUUCUUCUUGUCUACCUUCUUCUUCCCGCCUUCCACCGCCUUGGUGGCAGCUGCCUUCUUCCCCAUCCUUUUUGCCAUGAGGGUCUUCCUUCGCAUACGCUCGAGGGCUAAGUGGUGUGUGUGUGUGAGGGGGGGCGCUAGCGCUCGAUGAUCAGGCAGCGGCAGCACUAGGGCUGCAAUGCGAAAGAUGAAAGGACAGAAUGCAAAGGUAAAAUGGAAGGGAUGCUUUUGUCCGUUAUUUAUAACCGCGGCACAAUAAUAGCAUCGGGAAUAAAGGAAUAUUCAAGUUUUAAUGGACUCGAAGAUUUCGCAUCUGAUUAGCAGUUACCAGUAUUUUCAGAAGAGAUAAGGUUACUGUUGAUGGAUGAUCACGUUGACUAAAGGUUGAUCGUUAUACCCACCAAACUAGUCGUGUAACGGCUCAGGGGCUGACGUGCCCAUCGGCUAAAAAGUUUUUCUCUAGAUUUUAAGGGAAAAAUGAUGCAGAUUGACCCUCAGCAUAAUUCUUCGAUUCAACCUAAAGCUCACUCCAUAUGGAGUGCGACUUUCAUCGCACUUCCAUAUAAAAAUUCAAGAUUGAAGAUUCAAGAUCAAGUUAAAUAAGGCUUGAGCACAUUCUAGCCGCAUGGCAGUACUGGGGUACAUUUAAGAACUCAACACGAUGGAGUACUCGAAGAACACCAAAACUAGUUGGUAAGGUCUACAAAAAUACUUGGAACUGCUGCAUUUGACUAAAAAAAUACUCAGGGGCUUGUCGUACAUACAUAUAUGGGUCCACCAGAAGAUUUGGAUAGUCCUAGAUAUAGGGCUGGACACUGAGACGUGUCAGACAUGCAGGCUACGGUGCAAGACGGUGUAAUCUACGUGGCAAGAUGGGAACUAGUCGAGGAUUAGGAAAACUACUUGUAGCAAUUAGAGUAGGACUCAUCUAGUCAAAUCUGAUUAGUAUUCUUGUAAACAACCAACUUAACCCUGCCCCCGACAAUAUAAGGUGAGGCAAGGACCCCUCCAAAGCAAUUCAAUCUAACCAACAUACAGGAUGUAGAGUAUUACGCAAUCUAGCAGUCCAAAUCUGUCUAAAUCGUAUGUUUGUGUUUACCUUCAAGUUCCUGAUCUCAGCGAGCUCCACGCACUAAACACUACCUCGGGCUCCCCCCUCGGUAGGUUGCCGGGGACAAUAUCUGAAUUGGACCGAUCACACUUGAUUCUACAAUCCGCACUGCUGAAACAAGAUAACUGUUAAAACAAAAAUUGUGCCUUUCGGUAGCCUCUUUCUUUAAGGUUUACUACUAUCUACUGUUGAACAGCAUCUCUUUUGCAGAUGGUAACCGGUGAAGAAAGUUUUCUGGAAUGUUGUUUAAACUGCAUGGCUUGCCUACUGGAUUAAAAUGAUAGGAGGGCUGAUCUAGAGAAUCUAGCUUCCUGUAGAUGCGUCCAUGUGGACACUGCUCCUGCAACAUUCAGAAUUCAGAACGAAAUCAGAUGGACCUAUGAACAACCGAACCUAAUGAAUUUUUUGUGGACCCAUGCUAAAAAUGUUCAUAAUAUUGAGCAACAAUUAUAGGUAUAUAUAAGCUAUAUGGUAUAUGCAUCUUUCAUAAAUAAUACUUGGGGCCCCUACAUGGUACUUGGCAUAUACAGCAGAACACCGGAAACACCCCCCCCCCCCCCCCCCCCCCCCCCCCACAGUUGGGCUUCACUUGCCGACACUAAUGAAUAAAAUGUCAAACAGAGGAAAAACACAGCCCAUCUACAUGUUGAAAUAUAGCACAUGAUUCCUUCGUGGAAAGAAAAUAAUGUGAAAAUUCCUACCUAAACUCCCACAUUUUCAGUUUCAAGAGAAAUUUCUCAGUAAUGUUGACCUCAAAUUACCAUUCACUAUUGCAUAGAGUUAUCGAAAGAGGCAGACAUGUAGCCUCAAGGGAUCACAGUUCAUCAGUUUGUGCAUAGUCUUUCUCGGAGAUUGGGUAUCUAUUCAGUGGUCGACCUGUCACACAUUUUUUUUCUUUCUGAUUGAUAAAAGUGAGCGCUAAAUCGACUUAAUGACUUGCCAUUAUGUAUGCCUGCUCACUUGUGUUGACACAUUUCUCUCCUCUUGCCCUCGCCCUGAAAGUCUGAUAAGGACUUGAGCAAAGAAUAGUCAACAAAGUAAUGUCGGUUCUGGAUUUCAGUUUCAGUUUUCUUUGAACAUUUGAACCUCUUCUUAUUAUAUGUCUGGGAGAACACGGAACUUUGAUUAGAUCUUUCACGAAAAUCCUAUCAGAGAAGCAAGGGAACAGUAGGAAAGUAUGAUUUGAUCUCACGGUAAUCUUAUCAGAGCCACUGCACACAACUGUACCAUUGUGGAUUCAUGGCGUUAAUUGAAAUGGCAAAUGGCUGACAAGAAAUCAGAGCAGAGCUAGGACUGCAGAACUUAAAGUAGCAUUGCAAGUCUUGGAUGCAAAUGCAAGUUCAGAUGCAUAUAAUAUAUUUCAGUGAGAUGGGUUAAAAACAUGAGCCAUGCGGGAAGUAAAAAGUUUUUGCCCACACCUAGACAAACAAGCUAAACUACUUCCAAAAUUAAGAAUGUUGCAACAAUGAUUUCCAAAUGUUCUUGUCUAGGCGCUCAAAUAAUCUUAUAUCAUAUUUGCUCAAAUCUGAAGAAGACCUGGUACUUGCUGGGACUAAUGUUAGGGAGACGAAGCUAGCGAUUUAAUCAGACAAGGAAUGCACUUGAAAGUUGGUUUAUAACCUGAGACAAAAAGAGAGUUUACCAAUAAGCUAUAACUUACAGUAGAAUGCGUCGUAGUUGAAAUGCCUGUGCCGCUGUGCAACUGUUCAUGUAUUGCCAUUGCAAACCAAGCAUUUCGUCGAACAGAACGGGUCCCAACCUCUAGAUCCUAACGCCAUGGUGUGCCAUGGUGGCACCAUGGCAACGGGAAGCAUCAGCCGCGCGCGUACAGCGUCCUGAGGGUGUCCACGACCGGGCGGAACCCGUCGCGAAGCGGGACGAUGGAGACGGCGCGCAAUCGCUCGUCUCCGGCGCCGGCGCUCCUUUUGUUCCUGGUAGGCGCGCGCAGCACCACCCGGCACAUCUCCCCGCGCAGGGCAUCCGCGGCGGCGCAGGCCGAGCCCGGGUGGGCGGCGAAGAAGCGCGCGAGGUUGUCGGCGGGGCAGCCCAUCAGGGUGCGCGCGGCGCGAUCGAAGAGGACGACGGGGACGACGCGGUCGUGCGUGGCGAGGGAGAGGAGCAGGCGGUAGACGCGGGCCGGGGCGGGUUGUACGCUGCCGCAGGCGAAGCAGGAGGCGGCGCCGUCCGGGAGCGCGAGUUCGCAGCGCGGGCAGGAGAGGUAGGAGAAGUCGGACGUGUCGGCCGCCACGAUGGUGCAGAACGGCGGCGUCCAAGCCGCCGCCGCGCCGCCGUCACCGCCGCUGGUGCACCCGGCGAGAGGCAUCUCUGUGGGGGCUCCCAUGUAGCUUGUGCUGGAUAAACAACCUGGCUUAAAAGCCCAUGUCCAACUAACAGGCUCAACUUAUAGCAAAAUAAAUUCAACGUUUUAUGAGAAAUAGAUUAACAUUUAGAAACAGUACAUUCAAUAUUUUUGAAAAAACAACUACUUUCAACAUCUUUCACCUCCUACUUCAACAUUUGUACAAAUCGGGUUCAACAUUUUUUCAAAUAAGGAUCAACAUUCAAAAAAAUUUGUAUCUUCCUCAAUCUUAAAGCAGCUUUUUCCUCAACCUCAUGAAGGCGGUGUGUCCAAGGGGCACGCGCGGAGCUCGUGCGGCCAGGGGCGGCGGCGCCCGGGCAUGGGGAGGGGGGCCGUGAAGGCCGACGUGCCCCAGGGAUGGCGGCGCUCGACGCAUGGUUGGGGUGACCGUGAAGCACGUCGGCAGGGCGGCGACCGGGAGAAGAGGGCAGGGCAUGGACAGGGUCUAGGGUUGGGGAGAUCCAAUGAACUAAACUUCUUGCACGGGUCUCAAACACCGAAAGCCAUAUAGGGUGUGUUUGAUUGCUUGACUAAGGGCUAGCGGCUCCCGGAAGCCACCCAGACCAUUUUUGGUUGCCUGGUUAGGUCCUGUAGCCAGGCUCCACCAAUGUAACUAAGGGGGUAUUUGAUACGAUAUACUACACUUUAGCAGGGUCACAUCGGAUGUUCGGAUACUAAUUAGAAGGACUAAACAUGAGCUAAUUACAAAACUAAUUGCACAGAUGGAGUCUAAUUCGCGAGACGAAUCUAUUAAGGCUAAUUAAUCCAUCAUUAGCAAAUGGUUACUGUAGCACCAUAUUGUCAAAUCAUGGACUAUUGGGCUUAAUAGAUUCGUCUCGCGAAUUAUACUCCAUCUGUGCAAUUAAUUUUAUAAUUAGACUAUGUUUAAUUCUUCUAAUUAGUAUCAAACAUCCCAUGUAACAUGUGAUAAACUGCAAAAUACCCCAAGCCCCCAUAGCCAAACCAGAGAUAAACGUGGAGAUCUUCCAUCCCCAGCAAGCCAGGCUUGCACAACCCAACCGCACCCAUCCCCUCACCCCCCGGUAAGUGCAUGUUCUCCACUGGCAUGGCGCAGCGACGACGUACGGUCGGCGGGCACCGCAUGGCGGUGUACGACCGAUAGGGCCCGCAAGGUGGCGCGCUUGGCCGGCUAAGGCCCGCACGGCCGGCGGAGCCCAGCGUGGAGGCUCGCCCGCACAGCCGGCAGCGGCUCGCACGAUGGAGGGGCUCGCCUGAGAGGCCGGCGACGGCCCUCACGACGGAGCUCACUCGCGCAGCUGGUGGCGGCCCGCACGGCAGAGGGGCUCUCCUACGCGGGCGCCGGCGGCCCCCGCGGCGGAGGCUCUCGCGGCACCAACGGCCCGCACGGCUGGCGGUGGCCCACAUGGCGGAGGGGCUCGCCCACGAUGCCGCCUCCGGCCCCGAGGCACGACCUCGCCCGCCCGGGCGGCAGCGCCCCUGCGUGGCGGAGCUUGCUUUGGGGGAGCCGUGCGUGGUGGUGGCGGAGGAGUUGAGCGUGGUGGUGGUGGCAGAGACAAAGCAACCGAUUUGAUGGAGAAGAGGGAAGGUGAAAUAGGGUGGUAACUUCACCCGUGACUUGUAUAAAUUUAUUUUAAUAAAUUGUACAACCAACUAAACACAAUCUUAUGCUAGCCAAACUUAGAAUGAUCAGUAAUGCGAAUUGCAUUGCACUGGAGAGGUUUAAAUUAACAUGACUGUCCUUUUUAGAGGAGCCUGAUUUAAAAUAAGAAGGACGCACACAAUCAACACACUCCACACUCACACUACACGUAUAAACACGCGUGCGCGUUUAUACAUAUGCUUAUGGAAGAUAUUGGGAGGUUUAGACCUCCAGUGCACAGGAACGUGUAAUACUACUUACGCGUGUGUACUAAAAUAAGCGCAAUCGGAAAAAACCCCGUGAAGCACCUAGGUCUCGAUCGAACCGAACCGGACGGGCCACCCGAGCUACGCUCGGUCUUCGAUGGGAGCCUGACUAUGCAGCCAGGCUAGAAUAAGCAGCCAACCAAACAGAACCGUAGCAAACUGGCUGCCGGAAGCCCAAAGCCCAAGAGCUACUUACUGUUUUCGGGGCCGUUUUUAGAGUUUUCGGGGCCCGUUUAGUACUUGUUAACUCUUCGCACAAGCGGCCGCUUUCGUUGGAUCGUUGAAUGUCGAUCGGACGGUCGGAAAAACACGUGCGCUCUCUUUAUGUCCUGGAUCUGCGCCUUCUUCUCGACCGGGUCGCACGCUCCGUUCGGACCAAUCCCCCAAUCCGGACUCGCCUCCGACGCCGCCGCCGUGCUCCUCCGGCGACCUGCUCCGGAGCACCCUCUGCGUUGAAUCUUUCCUCCUACUCCUGCGUCGCGCUGCUGGAGAUCCGUCCUCCUCUCGGUAAGCCCUAGCCUCGGUCGAUUUCGCUUGCGUCCAUAGUAUGCGCGGGAGGAAUUGAAUCCUGCGGCAAGACCUAUUGCCGUUGUUUUGCCUUUAUUAGUGGAUUAGAUGCAGGCCUGCGGCUCCUUUCGCUGUUAUCGCCUAAGUAGUUUCGCGGCCCUAGGUUUCUUUCCCGGACGCGUGUCUGUUCGUGCGUAGAGGAUUGCAAAGGUGAUUUUUUUUUCGAUGGGAGUGGUAUGGAAUUGCAGAAGCAUUAUUCGGGAAGGAAUCGCCGUGUGUGAUGGUAGAGCCGGAGGAAUUACGGAAGAAAUAUAGUAAAAUCUGACGGCAUGUUGUAGUGUUGGAAAAAUAGGAUAUUUUGUGGGAGGAGACUCAAGACUAGAAGGCGCUUGCAUGAUGUUAUGACUCGAGCGAGGGUGGUAGGAGUAGGGUAUCGAGUGAGUCGUGUGACCUACUGUUGGAACUUGAGCAUGCCCGUCGUGAAGGUUGGUGGUUGUCGUGGGACUCACAGGGUUGGAUACUUGGAUCUCAGUCUGGUUUUGGCGUUUUGCUGUGGACAGGAAGGUAGAAGAGCAGAGGUUGUGGUGUUUUUUGGAGUGUCGAAGGUGGUGAUUGGCGUGGAGGUUCAGUUUGGUUGGAGCUUGGAGUUUAGAGGGAAGAUUUGGUGAUGAGCAGCCGCAGCCCGCCGCUGAAGGACCGCAGGAUGCGUACUGAACGCACCUCAUACCGUGACGCACCAUAUCGGAGGGACAGCCGCCGGGGUUCGAGCAGGUUUGAGCUUACCUAAGUCAAACAGGACGAGUGUUUGACAUUGUUCAUCCAAACAUUACUGCUUCCUCUCGUUGUCAAUUAUAUAUUGGCCUAAACGCUAUUUUAACAGGUUUCACACAACGUUUAAGUCUGUGCUUGUGAUAGAAUAACCAUAAUUGUUUUUUAUUUAGAUAGAUGUAAAUGGUUUGAGUUAUCCGUUAUAAUCACUUUGUGCAGCAUAAAUAAAGGGCACUUGGUAUUAGGUCAUGGUAGCAAUCUAGUUUGUCUGCAGGUCUGGUAAAGAAAAGUAUGACGCAAUGUGGUAACAGGGGUUUUAGAUUGAAUUCAUGUUUUUGCACAGUUUAGGGGAAUACAACCUCUGUGCGAGAGUUGUAGUUAGACAUGAGUCAUGAAAAGAAUGGUGUGAUUACAAUAUACAAUUAUUCAGAAGUUUGCAAGGUUAUGUAUCCUUUGGUUAUUUCUCUUUCUAUUGUGCAGGUUUCAUAAUGAUUUGUGCAACAACUGUAAGCGUCCUGGGCAUUUUGCUAGAGAGUGUCCUAGUGUGGCUGUCUGCCAUACCUGUGGGCUUCCUGGGUAAGAACUCUGUGCUGUUCUGCUUACAAAAAUUCAUGCUCUUACAUGCUGUCAGUGUUAAGUUUUUCCGUCUAUCCGUCAUUCAUUCACUAGCAACUUACAUACCAUGCUUUUAAUUAGAGUGAAGUGCACCUGAGGUCCUUAAAACUUUUCUCUGAUUCAGAUGCCCACUUCAGAGUUUAUGGACCUAGGUUGAAAAUCUAGGAAAUACCCCCCCCCCCCCCCCCCCCAAAAAAAAAAAAAAAAAAACAAAAAAAAAGUUAGCUUAGAAACUUGUGCGGUAUCAAUUUAUUUCAUGAUUUAUUGUUAUGUUUAACUAUUCUCGAGCAUCAUAUGCGUCCUCAGUAGUGUGGAUAAGUGGUGCAUGUUCCCCUAGGGGCAUAAACUCCAUGUUCUACCUCAUGUUAUUGUUUUCAUAUUCUUGUCAUCCUGGAUGGUACUUCUAGCAUCAUUUUUUCUAGUGAAGUUUAAUGCAUAUGUAAGCAAAUCAUUGUUGUCUUAGGCUCUUAUUGCAUUAGACCUUAUCUCGGAUUUGAUUUUGUUUUUAUUAUUUGUGAGAUGAUUGAUGACGAUGACUUUGAAGCUUAAGCCAUACAUGCCCACUCUGGCCAUACACCUAGACUGUAAUUUUUUUUUUAACUCUUGCAGGCACAUUGCAGCUGAGUGUUCUUCCAAAGGUACCUGCUGGAACUGCAAAGAACCUGGCCACAUGGCUAACAGCUGCCCAAAUGAAGGGAUAUGCCGUAACUGCGGCAAGUCUGGCCACAUUGCAAGAGAUUGCACUGCUCCGCCAGUGCCGCCCGGAGAAGUGAUCCUUUGCAGCAACUGCUACAAACCAGGACAUUUCCGUGAGGAAUGCACCAAUGAGAAGGCCUGCAACAACUGUCGGCAGAGUGGCCAUAUUGCUCGCAACUGCACCAAUGAUCCUGUUUGCAACCUGUGCAAUGUUGCUGGCCAUUUGGCCCGUCAGUGCCCCAAGUCUGAUACAUUGGGUGAGCGGGGUGGGCCACCUCCCUUCCGUGGAGCCGGAGCACCCUUCCGUGGGGGUGGUGCUCCCUUCCGCGGCGGCUUCAGUGACAUUAUCUGUCGGGCCUGCAACCAGGUUGGCCAUAUGAGCCGUGACUGCAUGGCUGGUGCCUUCAUGAUCUGCCACAACUGUGGUGGCCGUGGCCAUAUGGCUUUUGAGUGCCCCUCUGUGAGUCUCAUGGACCGCUUCCCCCCUCGCCGUUUCUGAAGGACGUCCAAGGGCUGUCCAGAUGACUAUUACUUUCUGUCCUCUGCGUCAAGAACAAUUAUUUUUCAUUUGCUUUAUGUUUCUGAGCUAUAACGGAUUCUAGCUAUUUCAGAUUCAUAACUUGCUAUGUUUAGUUGUAAUUCUGGGAUGUGCUACUUGACUGUGAUGCUCUGCUGAGGAUAAUGUUUGUAGAUGGGAGUACUUGUGAAUUCUGAAUUCAUCUCAUGAGUUUUUAAUCUUAUUCGAACUUGAAAUAUCAGAGCACGUGUGUGCCCUAAAUUUAUUUUCCGCCUAUCAGUACUGUAAGCUCCCUGUGUCAAAACUUUUGCAAAUUCGCCAGAAGAGAAACUAGCAGAGUAACACGGACGCAAAUGAUACGUUAAGAGGGUGUGUUAAAGAGUGUGUUUGGUUGCUCAUGUAUAAGAUGGUCUUUUGUUGGGUGACUUUUGUUGGGUGACUUGUACUAACCCAUCCAAGAUGAAGUCUCACUUUAUACAUUAUUCUACUAAUUGGAGUGAACCAUACAAUAUAAGAAAAUUGUCCUACUAAUUGAAUAGUGAACCAUAUAGCACAAGAAAAUUGGUUGAACACCACCAUCCAGAAUUAUCCAUAUAUACAUUAUAUGGUGUAUACAACCAAACCAUAUAGCACAAGAAAAUUGGUUGAACACCACCAUCCAGAAUUAUCCAUAUAUACAUUAUAUGGUGUAUACAACCAAACACACCAUAAGCUGCUGAUGGUUCUUUUUUUCUUACUCUACAGUGUAGACACAUCUGGGCAAGUGGAUCCCGAAUAAAAUAUUAAGUGUAUUAAAUGUUUACCAAGUUUUACCUUAGAAUAUUUUGAUUUGCCAUGGAACAUCAAAGUUAGCUGUUCAAACUAGACCGAGUACCUAGUUAAAACUUGAAACACUGGGACACCAAGGCAAGGUUUCUGAAAAACUAUACAGCAAUUGAUACAAAAUAAUCAAAGCAUGAGCCAAUGACAGACUAUCCGAGUGUUGCAUUGUUAUUGGUUAGCGUACAAGUACCAUAACAAACACUGGGAAACACAGGGCAACGCAGCCGAAAGCUGCAUGCCUGUUUCAGAAAUCAGAACACCACACAUGCCCAGCCCAACUCGCCAGAUCUUCCAUUUCAUGAUGUCAUAGUGAACUCCGAUUGAUCACGGAGGCCCUGGGGAUGCACUGUAUUGAGCCAUCUAGUCCAAUUUCGCAUAGCUUUGUCCAUUGCCAUCUCCUUUCUCACCAUCGUUUUGCCCAAGAUCCUUCAGCUACAUCAGGGUCAGGGAGAACAAGAAAAUAAAUAAAUCAGCUACUUAGUCAACUCAAGAGUUUAUUUAGCAUAUAGUAAUCUUAAACAUUUGAAAAUUCCUUUUUAUUUCUAAGGUAGCAUAGAAAAAUAUUUGGAAAGGCAGUCAACAGUAGAAAAAUACCUUAGCUAGGUAUGCCUUGUGGAAUCUGUAACCCUGAAAGAACCAAGAGCUCAACAUUAGAACUCUGACACUUCCAUCACUUCUUAGUACUGCCUUUCGGCCUUUGCAUAAAGGAGAAACUUACUCUAUCAGUCCCAUACAGAUAAUCACAGUAUGUGAAAACAGAAGCAAAAUUGCUUUGGCUUUGGCCUCCUACAUAAUGAUGAUAGUCAUGGUAUUCUGCUCCUCCAUAGAAUGGAAUAUACUUUGUUGGGGUGAAUGGGAAAUCAAAGCUGCAAAAUAACAAAACCAAUCAUGUUUCUCCUUUUAGAAGGAUCAGAAACACAGUAGCAGUCAUGGGCGGUUUUAUUGGCCGCAUUGAAAUAUAAGCAGUAUCUGCCAUAAAAUAGUACAAACUGAGGUACACCCUAGCUGAGAUGGUCUCAUACAGAAAAUGGAUUGUAUACAAAGGUGGAGCAGACAGAAAGAACCCAUGUGGUAUGUAUGAUAUUGAUAUUAGUAGAUUUCAAUCCAAUGAGUUACUAUAGACUCUGGUAAUAUGCUACUAUGGUAGUUAAUUCCAAUCAUACAUAAAGAAGCUAGAAUUUUUCAUUGUCAACACCUAAAACAAAGGACAAGAAAUGUCCCAAUACCAUAAGAGGAAAACACAAAUACAAUGCAUUGCAAGGUCAUAACACUAAUAAAAAGCAAUUUCCCAUCUGUUAAGAUACUCCCUCCAACCCAUAAUAUUUGACAUUGGUUAGUUCAAAAUUGAACUAACCAACAUCAAAUAAAACGGUAUGGACGUCGUACAAAUCGAGCAACAUAAUUUGUUACUACAUGAUCCAUUGUUAGUGAUAGACCUACUGUGUCAUUCCAGUGGAGCUGCACCAAAGUAAUGAAUCAGUGAAUCCUGAAUUUGCCAAGAUGCAACUAAGCAUACUACAUUUUUCUCUUCCUAGGUGCCCAUGUGUCAAUUCAUUUCAUAUAUAGUAGCAAGCAUAAACCAUGAAAUGAUAUCUAAUAAAUAGAAAAUCGAAUAUUAGAUAAUCCGUUAUGAAAGAAACAUAACACAUUCUUUGAAGAAAUCCAAAAGGAACUCAUAUUUUUGGCGCGAUUGCCGAAGAAAGAACAUUAUUAUUCAUAUUUUGCUAAGCUUCCUAGUAGAAAAAUCAUUUCAAA